CCUACGGGAGGCAGCAGUGGGGAAUAUUGGACAAUGGGGGCAACCCUGAUCCAGCCAUGCCGCGUGUGUGAAGAAGGCCCUCGGGUUGUAAAGCACUUUCAGUGAGGAAGAACGCCUGGUGGUUAAUACCCAUCAGGAAAGACAUCACUCACAGAAGAAGCACCGGCUAACUCCGUGCCAGCAGCCGCGGUAAUACGGAGGGUGCGAGCGUUAAUCGGAAUUACUGGGCGUGAAGCGCGCGUAGGUGGCUUGAUAAGCCGGUUGUGAAAGCCCCGGGCUCAACCUGGGAACGGCAUCCGGAACUGUCAAGCUAGAGUGCAGGAGAGGAAGGUAGAAUUCCCGGUGUAGCGGUGAAAUGCGUAGAGAUCGGGAGGAAUACCAGUGGCGAAGGCGGCCUUCUGGACUGACACUGACACUGAGGUGCGAAAGCGUGGGUAGCAAACAGGAUUAGAUACCCUGGUAGUC
rnacentral:rRNA from 1 species